rnacentral:lncRNA from 1 species
AUGGCAGAUGAUGGCUGUAAAACGUGUUCCUUUGGUUGGACUGGCUUCAACUGUCGAGAGUCAUGGAAACUUGUGUUGGUAAUUGUUGGGUCUGUGUUUGGAGGAUUACUUCUUGCAACCUCCAUCGGUCUAAUAAUAAUGGCUGUCAAGCCUUCAAAGAAUGGCUCCAAAAAGGCAAAACAUUCAGGGACUGGGAACCCUUCUCUUGCUAAGGGUCCAUUGAUAAACGGAACCAAUGGCCUGUUAAACAAAGGUUAUGUGCCAGAUAAGGGAAAGGCACCUUUCCCAGACUUUGGGGUGCCCAGAAUACCUCGUGCCACAACUGACAGCAGCUGGGACAACAGGACCAACCUGGAGAUGACACCAAGCAACAGUCGGCAAAACCUUGUCCCUUCAGGGAAGAACUCGCGACUGUAUGAAGAGCACAAUGAGAUAAAUCCAUACUCUCGACCCCAAAACGUCUACGCUCAAGCUCGACCACAGAACCCUUAUGAUCAAAACCGAGCCAACGUCAACCCAUAUGCUCAAAACCAAGGUCGGACCAACCCGUACAACAUGGAUAACGACAGACGGCGAUACUAAUCAAACCGAACGCGACUGAAGUGACUGAAGCAACUCGAUUACAUUCAAAUCAAUGUGAAUGAAGCGACCUCAAGUUAACUCCCCUAAAGCGACGUGACGUGUAAUUUUGAGCGAUCAAAGUUGAAAAAUCUGAACUUUUUAAGCGAUUUCAAGCGACAAAUCCCUCGUCCUUCAGUGGUUGUAGAGCAGAGGCUGCAGCCCCUCCUGCUCCCUCCCACCACAGUGCAGACGGCUGCAGCAGAGAGCUGUACGCAUGCCUUUAAAAAUGACUGGAACUGAAAAGCUGAGCUCUACAAAUAUUUUGGAUUUUAAUUUCUUUUUGUGUGUUUUGAGGUGCUGAGAUAUCUACAAAUGAAUUAGAUGGUCAUUUACAUCAUUUUUCAUGUUUUUUCUAUCAUUUUUAGUUUCGUGGGCGGGCCGAAUUUGAGGAAUGCUUUCCAACCUUUUUUGUCCAAUGUGCCCCUUAUCUUUUCUGUCUUAAUUUGUGUCAGAAGGCUCAUCUGAAAGCUUCACUCAUAUUUUUCUGAUUUGACCAUUUUAGGUGUUGGUCUUCACCUUUUUUAAAAAAUGUAUUUUAAAGAGUUGUGCCACAAUGUAUCAUCGAUAGAUAAGGAAAAUGUCUGUGAGCAAGCGUAAAUUUGUCUCAUCAUUUUAGAAAAAUAAAUUGACAAAUGUUUCUGUGUACCCCCUGAGG